GAUGAACGCUAGCGGCAGGCUUAAUACAUGCAAGUCGAGGGGCAUCAAGGUACACGAAAGUGUAUUGUUGGCGACCGGCGGACGGGUGAGUAAUAGGUAGGUAACCUACCUCAUACUGAGGCAUAGCUGGGAGAAAUUCCAGGUAAUUCCUCAUGAGGUUAUAUGACACAUGUGAUAUAAUCAAAGGUAUCGCAAGGUACUGGUAUGAGAUGGGCUUACUGACCAUUAGCUAGUUGGUGAGAUAAGAGCUCACCAAGGCGAAGAUGGUUAGGGGUUUUGAGAGAGAGAUCCCCCAAUUGGAACUGAGAUACGGUCCAGACUCCUACGGGAGCAGCAGUAGGGAAUAUUGGGCAAGUGGGCGGAAGCCUGACCCAGCCAUGCCGCGUGAAGGAAGACGGCCUUAUGGGUUGUAAACUUCUUUACUAUGCGACUAACUAGAUUUACGAGAUAAUCUAAUAGAAUGUAGCAUAGCAAAAAGCAACCC
rnacentral:rRNA from 1 species